UGUGCGAACGUCACUUCGAAGAAAUGUGUCUAGGAGGGGGACACUAUUUCACAAGCUUCAACGGGGCACGAAGAUACUGGGCAUGUGUAGGACCCUGAUGGUGUUGCGAGAGAACUGUUGAAAUGCAGUGGCUCCUAAAUUCAGGAUCACAGCUUCGAAAUUACACGGUGUAACAAUGCUGGAUCGUAUAUCACACACCGGGGGACAGGAGUUGUUGCUUACUCAAGGGAGAGAGAUACAUCAGUCGGCACUACUUACACGUGAUAAAUGGUGAGGUGGUACUACUGACGGGAGGAGUGCCUUUUCUGGAUCCGCGCGCAGCUCCGACAAUCCUUGGCGCCAAUGAUGCCAGAAAGCGUGAUGCUGGCCCCAGCCAUGGCCAAGGACCACCGGAGAAGUUAUGCCGUCCAACCCGUGAUACAUCAGUCUUACUGGAGACAGAACCCACGGUAAACGUCGAGACGGCCGAAAAUCUCGAGGCUUCACCUCCGAACACCAAGAAGAGAUGCCAUUUCACGAAUAGCCUUGUGUGCCCUUCUCCGGCUUGGUGUUGUAUUCGUCCGACGAAUAUUGACGACACAGUGCUCUUCGCCACCUUUGUUGCAAGUGGACAGACCGCUUUUCCUGUGGAAUUUGAGAAAUGCGUGGAGUUCUCGGCAAAUGAGGAAAGUGCAACUUGUAGAACAUUCAUAGGCACUACGCUACAUGCAGAAACGAUACUACCGUCAGCAGCUGAAGCCAACGCGGUGUUGCGGAACUUAGAUGACAUAGUAACUUGCAAAGGCGCAGGCACGUUGGAAGGCUACUCUUCUGUCAAAAUUGACACAGCCAAAUUCAGGAUGAGCGGCAGAACAAUCAGGUCAGGACGCUGCAAUGGAGUGACAGGAAAUACUGGCAAGCCGAGCGUGGCCUGAAAAUACACGAGGGCGAUGCUUCAGCAGCGGGUAUGCCGACUGAGGACCCAGA